rnacentral:rRNA from 2 species
GUCGAACGAUGAAACUUAAAUGAAUUCUUCGGAAUGAUUUUAAUUGGAUUAGUGGCGAACGGGUGAGUAACGCGUGAGUAACCUGCCUUACACAAGGGGAUAGCCUCUGGAAACGGAGAAUAAUACCCUAUGAAACUAUCUUAUCGCAUGAAAAGAUAGUCAAAGUGUUUUAGCGGUGUAAGAUGGACUUGCGUCUGAUUAGCUAGUUGGUGAGAUAACAGCCCACCAAGGCAACGAUCAGUAGCCGGCUUGAGAGAGCGUACGGCCACAUUGGGACUGAGACACGGCCCAGACUCCUACGGGAGGCAGCAGUGGGGAAUUUUGCACAAUGGGGGCAACCCUGAUGCAGCGACGCCGCGUGAUUUAGAAGGCCUUCGGGUUGUAAAAAUCUUUUGUAUAGGAAGAAAAUGACAGUACUAUACGAAUAAGGUCCGGCUAAUUACGUGCCAGCAGCCGCGGUAAUACGUAAGGACCGAGCGUUGUCCGGAAUCAUUGGGCGUAAAGGGUACGUAGGCGGUUAGAAAAGUUAGAAGUGAAAGGCUAUAGCUCAACUAUAGUAAGCUUUUAAAACUGUUUAACUUGAGAGAUGGAAGGGAAAGUGGAAUUCCUAGUGUAGCGGUGAAAUGCGCAGAUAUUAGGAGGAAUACCGGUGGCGAAGGCGACUUUCUGGCCAUCAUCUGACG